rnacentral:rRNA from 2 species
UGGGGAAUAUUGCGCAAUGGGGGCAACCCUGACGCAGCAACGCCGCGUGCGGGACGACGGCCCUCGGGUUGUAAACCGCUUUCAGCAGGGAAGACAUCGACGGUACCUGCAGAAGAAGCCCCGGCUAACUACGUGCCAGCAGCCGCGGUAACACGUAGGGGGCGAGCGUUAUCCGGAUUCAUUGGGCGUAAAGCGCGCGCAGGCGGCUCGCCAAGCGGGACCUCUAACCCCGGGGCUCAACCCCGGGCCGGGUCCCGGACUGGCGGGCUCGCUUCAGGUAGGGGCAGGCGGAAUUCCCGGUGUAGCGGUGGAAUGCGCAGAUAUCGGGAGGAACACCGACGGCGAAGGCAGCCUGCUGGGCCUCGAAGGACGCUGAGGCGCGAAAGCCGGGGGAGCGAACAGG